UACGUAGGUGGCAAGCGUUGUCCGGAAUUAUUGGGCGUAAAGCGCGCGCAGGCGGUCCUUUAGGUCUGAUGUGAAAGCCCACGGCUCAACCGUGGAGGGUCAUUGGAAACUGGGGGACUUGAGUGCAGAAGAGGAGAGUGGAAUUCCACGUGUAGCGGUGAAAUGCGUAGAGAUGUGGAGGAACACCAGUGGCGAAGGCGACUCUCUGGUCUGUAACUGACGCUGAGGCGCGAAAGCGUGGGGAGCAAACAGG
rnacentral:rRNA from 1 species